UGAACGCUGGCGGCGUGCCUACUACAUGCAAGUCGAGCGAACGGACGAGAAGCCUGCUUUUCUGAUGUUAGCGGCGGACGGGUGAGUAACACGUGGAUAACCUACCUAUAAGACUGGGAUAACUUCGGGAAACCGGAGCUAAUACCGGAUAAUAUUUUGAACCGCAUGGUUCAAAAGUGAAAGACGGUCUUGCUGUCACUUAUAGAUGGAUCCGCGCUGCAUUAGCUAGUUGGUAAGGUAACGGCUUACCAAGGCAACGAUGCAUAGCCGACCUGAGAGGGUGAUCGGCCACACUGGAACUGAGACACGGUCCAGACUCCUACGGGAGGCAGCAGUAGGGAAUCUUCCGCAAUGGGCGAAAGCCUGACGGAGCAACGCCGCGUGAGUGAUGAAGGUCUUCGGAUCGUAAAACUCUGUUAUUAGGGAAGAACAUAUGUGUAAGUAACUGUGCACAUCUUGACGGUACCUAAUCAGAAAGCCACGGCUAACUACGUG
rnacentral:rRNA from 1 species